rnacentral:sRNA from 1 species
AGUCUCCGUGGAGAUUUCUCCUCGACCUCUUCCCCGCGGCAAUGUGCGAACCCUGGGUCUCCAGGAAACGGGGAUACGGGGCAUGGCUCCCAGCAAGGCCUGGUCCAGUCUCUCCGAAAUAUACGUCUGUCACAGUUAACGGCAAAGCCUAGGGCAAGAGUUCUACGCCCAAGAUGGCCAGCCGGAAGCGGACUUCUCGCGACCAUGUGGCGAAGCCCCAUUCGUCAGCUGGCCGCCCGCGGCCCUGGUACCCGGUCACCUCUCUGAUCUGCGCAUGUGCUGGGCUACGCCCGGGCGCAAGCGCCAAGAGCGGCUGCGUCUAUGGUCAUGACGUCUGACAGAGCGUCCACCCGUCUUCGCCAGGACUCUAUGGUUCUUACGCGCGCAGACAGACCGCCUAUAUAAGCCAUGCGCAGGCGGAGGAGCGCCUCUUUCCCUUCGGUGUGCCACUGAAGAUCCUGGUGUCGCCAUGGGCCGCCGCCCCGCCCGUUGGUGAGUCUUGAAUCCAUGUACUUUCACUGCUGGGAAACGGGCGGGGAAAGAAGUGCCUAUGGCCGCUGAAAACAAUU